rnacentral:lncRNA from 10 species
UCUGUUUCAUGCUCUUGGCAAGCCUGGUAAGUAUCUUUCUCUAUCUUCUAGUAAGUCCUUGAUGAACACAUUCAAGAGUCAAGAGAGAAUCUUGAAUUCAUUCAUUUGAGGUCAUCUUGAAAUUGAGGUCCUCCUUCAGAUCCUGUUCUGGAGGCCAGGGAUAAAAGGGCAAGAUACAGUCCAUACCUCUGUGGGCCUCACUGUCUAGGAAGCAUCACAGAUGCACAAAUGCCUAAAUAUAAUACUGUGUGCAUAUGCAGUAGAACUACGCGAGUUAAUACUGUAAGGGAGCAGGUGAUUCUGCACGGACAGCCUGGGAAGCCCACAGGAGGUUCAGGAGUUCGGCAGAAGGGCUCCUGUAGAAGCCUGAGGGAGGGACCCAGCCUUUAUGAGUAGCACCCUUCCCUUUCCCUGGAGUAACCCCUGGCUGGUAGUGCUGAUGUGAGAGCCCAGCGAGGAGGGCGGCAUGUGGUCCCCGACCUGCUGUGGCGGGGGGACGUCAGCAGCGGCAGCAGGCCGGGGAGUUAGUCCCUAGGCGGGGGCUUGAGAGUUUCUUGCUGGUUCCAAGGAGUCGGCCUUGUCCUACCUCUCAGAUCACCUUUCCAGCAGACCCUGUGGGCCUGUGCUCUGUGAGGUAAGGAGGGUUACCAUGGGAACUGUGACUUUUGCGUCUUCUUACUGAGCUUUUCAUAUUGUCAAUUCCAACCCCAAACAUCUGCCUUUUGCAUGUUUAGAGUCCUUAGGUAAGCGUAAGGGAGUGCCAGCUGUGGUGUGGGAUACAGAUUACUGUCUUGCUUCCUCCAGCUCUCCAGCCUCAUCA